AACGAACGCUGGCGGCGCGCCUAACACAUGCAAGUCGAACGAGAAUCCGGGGCAACCCGGUAGUAAAGUGGCAAACGGGUGAGGAAUACAUGGGUAACCUACCCUUGAGAAGGGAAUAACCCGCCGAAAGGUGAGCUAAUACCCUAUACGCUAUCUUUUUUUCGAAAAGGAUAGGAAAGACCGGGUCGGAGGACCUGGUACUCAAGGAGGGGCUCAUGUCCUAUCAGCUUGUUGGUGGGGUAACGGCCUACCAAGGCUACGACGGGUAGCUGGUCUGAGAGGAUGAUCAGCCACACUGGCACUGAGAUACGGGCCAGACUCCUACGGGAGGCAGCAGUGAGGAAUAUUGCGUCAAUGGGCGAAAGCCUGACGCAGCGACGCCGCGUGGGGGAUGAAGGUUUUCGGAUUGUAAACCCCUUUCAUGAGGAAAGAUAAAGUGGGUAACCACUUAGACGGUACCUCAAGAAGAAGCCACGGCUAACUUCGUG
rnacentral:rRNA from 1 species